rnacentral:rRNA from 1 species
GACGAACGCUGGCGGCGUGCCUAAUACAUGCAAGUAGAACGCUGAAGAGAGGAGCUUGCUCUUCUUGGAUGAGUUGCGAACGGGUGAGUAACGCGUAGGUAACCUGCCUUGUAGCGGGGGAUAACUAUUGGAAACGAUAGCUAAUACCGCAUAACAAUGGAUGACACAUGUCAUUUAUUUGAAAGGGGCAAUUGCUCCACUACAAGAUGGACCUGCGUUGUAUUAGCUAGUAGGUGAGGUAACGGCUCACCUAGGCGACGAUACAUAGCCGACCUGAGAGGGUGAUCGGCCACACUGGGACUGAGACACGGCCCAGGCUCCUACGGGAGGCAGCAGUAGGGAAUCUUCGGCAAUGGGGGCAACCCUGACCGAGCAACGCCGCGUGAGUGAAGAAGGUUUUCGGAUCGUAAAGCUCUGUUGUAAGUCAAGAACGAGUGUGAGAGUGGAAAGUUCACACUGUGACGGUAGCUUACCAGAAAGGGACGGCUAACUACGUGCCAGCAGCCGCGGUAAUACGUAGGUCCCGAGCGUUGUCCGGAUUUAUUGGGCGUAAAGCGAGCGCAGGCGGUUUGAUAAGUCUGAAGUUAAAGGCUGUGGCUCAACCAUAGUUCGCUUUGGAAACUGUCAAACUUGAGUGCAGAAGGGGAGAGUGGAAUUCCAUGUGUAGCGGUGAAAUGCGUAGAUAUAUGGAGGAACACCGGUGGCGAAAGCGGCUCUCUGGUCUGUAACUGACGCUGAGGCUCGAAAGCGUGGGGAGCGAACAGGAUUAGAUACCCUGGUAGUCCACGCCGUAAACGAUGAGUGCUAGGUGUUGGAUCCUUUCCGGGAUUCAGUGCCGCAGCUAACGCAUUAAGCACUCCGCCUGGGGAGUACGACCGCAAGGUUGAAACUCAAAGGAAUUGACGGGGGCCCGCACAAGCGGUGGAGCAUGUGGUCUAAUUCGAAGCAACGCGAAGAACCUUACCAGGUCUUGACAUCCCGAUGCUAUUUCUAGAGAUAGAAAGUUACUUCGGUACAUCGGUGACAGGUGGUGCAUGGUUGUCGUCAGCUCGUGUCGUGAGAUGUUGGGUUAAGUCCCGCAACGAGCGCAACCCCUAUUGUUAGUUGCCAUCAUUCAGUUGGGCACUCUAGCGAGACUGCCGGUAAUAAACCGGAGGAAGGUGGGGAUGACGUCAAAUCAUCAUGCCCCUUAUGACCUGGGCUACACACGUGCUACAAUGGUUGGUACGACGAGUUGCGAGUCGGUGACGGCAAGCUAAUCUCUUAAAGCCAAUCUCAGUUCGGAUUGUAGGCUGCAACUCGCCUACAUGAAGUCGGAAUCGCUAGUAAUCGCGGAUCAGCACGCCGCGGUGAAUACGUUCCCGGGCCU